CACGUAGGGCGCAAGCGUUGUCCGGAAUUAUUGGGCGUAAAGGGAGCGUAGGCGGUUCGGCAAGUCUUUAGUGAAAUCUCUGGGCUCAACUCAGAGUCUGCUGGAGAAACUGCCGGGCUGGAGUUUGGUAGAGGCAGAUGGAAUUCCGGGUGUAGCGGUGGAAUGCGUAGAGAUCCGGAAGAACACCGGUGGCGAAGGCGGUCUGCUGGGCCAAGACUGACGCUGAGGCGCGACAGCGUGGGGAGCAAACAGG
rnacentral:rRNA from 1 species